rnacentral:misc_RNA from 1 species
GAUGAAGAACGCAGCGAAAUGCGAUACGUAAUGUGAAUUGCAGAAUUCAGUGAAUCAUCGAAUCUUUGAACGCAUAUUGCGCUCUCUGGUAUUCCGGAGAGCAUGCUUGUUUGAGUAUCAGUAAACACCUCAACUUCCAUAUCUUUUUUGAAAUGGGAGUUGGACUUGAGUGAUCCCAACGCUUUUCCUCACCGAAAAGUGGCGGGUUACUUGAAAUGCAGGUGCAGCUGGACUUUUCUCUGAGCUAUAAGCAUAUCUAUUUAGUCUGCCUAAAAAACAGAUUAUUACCUUUGCUGCAGCUAACAUAAAGGAGAUUAGUUCUUGUGCUGACUGAUGCAGGAUUCACAAAAACGGCUUCGGCCGACUUUGUAAACUCGAUCUCAAAUCAAGUAAGACUACCCGCUGAACUUAAGCAUAUCAAUAAGCGGAGGA